rnacentral:rRNA from 1 species
CCUACGGGAGGCAGCAGUGGGGAAUAUUGGGCAAUGGGCGCAAGCCUGACCCAGCAACGCCGCGUGAAGGAAGAAGGCUUUCGGGUUGUAAACUUCUUUUCUCAGGGACGAAGCAAGUGACGGUACCUGAUGAUUAAGCCACGGCUAACUAAGUGCCAGCAGUCGCGGUAAUACGUAGGUGGCAAGCGUUAUCCGGAUUUACGGGGUGUAAAGGGCGUGUAGGGGGGAAAGCAAGGCAGAUGUGAAAACCAUGGGGUUAACCUGUGGCCUGCAUUUGAAACUGUUUUUCUUGAGUACUGGAGAGGCAGGCGGAAGUCCUGGUGUAGCGGUGAAAUGCGUAGAUAUUAGGAGGAACACCAGUGGCGAAGGCGGUCUGCUGGACAGCAACUGACGCUGAGGCGCGAAAGCGUGGGGAGCAAACAGGAUUAGAUACCCCAGUAGUC